rnacentral:rRNA from 1 species
AUUGAACGCUGGCGGCAUGCUUUACACAUGCCAGUCGAACGGUAACAGGCCGCAAGGUGCUGACGAGUGGCGCACGGGUGAGUAAUGCAUCGGAACGUGCCCAGUCGUGGGGGAUAACUACUCGAAAGAGUAGCUAAUACCGCAUACGAUCUAUGGAUGAAAGCGGGGGACCGUAAGGCCUCGCGCGAUUGGAGCGGCCGAUGUCAGAUUAGGUAGUUGGUGGGGUAAAGGCUCACCAAGCCAACGAUCUGUAGCUGGUCUGAGAGGACAACCAGCCACACUGGGACUGAGACACGGCCCAGACUCCUACGGGAGGCAGCAGUGGGGAAUUUUGGACAAUGGGCGCAAGCCUGAUCCAGCAAUGCCGCGUGCAGGAAGAAGGCCUUCGGGUUGUAAACUGCUUUUGUACGGAACGAAACGGCUCUGGUUAAUACCCGGGGCUAAUGACGGUACCGUAAGAAUAAGCACCGGCUAACUACGUG